UACGAAGGGGGCUAGCGUUGUUCGGAGUCAUUGGGCGUAAAGGGUGCGUAGGCGGCGCGGUAAGUCGGGUGUGAAAUCUUGGAGCUUAACUCCGAAACUGCAUUCGAUACUGCCGUGCUUGAGGACUGGAGAGGAGACUGGAAUUUACGGUGUAGCGGUGAAAUGCGUAGAUAUCGUAAGGAAGACCAGUGGCGAAGGCGGGUCUCUGGACAGUUCCUGACGCUGAGGCGCGAAGGCCAGGGGAGCAAACGGG
rnacentral:rRNA from 1 species